rnacentral:rRNA from 1 species
UACAGAGGUCCCAAGCGUUGUUCGGAUUCACUGGGCGUAAAGGGUGCGUAGGCGGUCGGGUAAGUCUGAUGUGAAAUCUCACAGCUUAACUGUGAAACUGCAUUGGAUACUAUUCGGCUUGAGAGUUGGAGGGGGGACUGGAAUUCUUGGUGUAGCAGUGAAAUGCGUAGAUAUCAAGAGGAACACCAGUGGCGAAAGGCG